AGCUAGUUAAUAAUUUUACAAAUACAUAAACCCACCAAAGUGGUGAAUAUCUGAUAUGUUUACAAAUAAAUAAACCCACCAGAGUGGUGAGUAGCUGAUAUGUUUACAAAUAAAUAAACCCACCAGAGUGGUGAGUAGUUGAUAUGUUUACAAACAAAACGGCUUGGGAUUUGGUCAGCUAACGCUACCUAACCCACGGGCUGCUCUGAACACUGAUUUCGGACCCGGUGGUUGUUUUUAAGACAACUCAAUAUCUGAGUUUUCAUGAACAAUUCGCAGUAACAUUCUCUCUACCUCUGACAGUGAAUACCUUCCUUCGUAAUUGAAAAUACAGAGAAAAAAGAUUCUUCCAGUGAUCCCUACAGUACUGACUAGAUUCUCCUCAGCCAUGCCAUCCUAUAGCAUGUGUCCCUGGGUCCUGCUGUUAUCUGUGCUUAAGGUCAUAACCGUGCCUGUAUUGACCUCUUCAGUAAAGGUGAAUCUUCAUGAUGAUGCUACUCUCCCCUGCACUCAGAUGUGUUCUGGUCUGGUCACAUGGACUG